UCUGGCUUUGGAGAGCUCUGCCUAUGACUUGAAGAGUACUCUGUCAGCUGAGGAGAGAUCUGGCGCUUAGCGCCUUGUGGUCCCAAGUGAUGAAGAAGCUUGAACGCCACAAUGAGCAGUAAUAAUGCCUUGUGUUGAGGGCACAGCUAACGGGUCCUCUCCAAUCCAGAGGACUAAGAAUUCUACAGCCAGUUACCAGUGUUUUAAAACUAUCAACAGAGAAGUUUGAAGAGCUGCCACUACCGACAAGGGGCCCAGCGUCAGAGAUGUAUUCUCAUCGAGGGCAACCGUCUUGGAAUAAGCAACUGCAGUCACACCCAUUUUGUCCUUGCAGCUGGCAAUAUUCCUGCUUCCUCUCGCUGAUAUUCAGGUCUCUCUCAACCCUUGCUCUGGAGUCUCCAGGGCGACCGACUGCUUCCAGGCUGCAAAUGGGUGCUGGAAUAAGGACGUGGGAUUGAAGCUCCCAGGCUCUGGAAACAGUGGAUGGGAGGAGAGACGGAAUCUUUGUGACACAGAGAAAGUCUGCCAGGUAAAUGAGGUCACUUCAGCAGGGGGAAGCAGAGCUUACAGUCUGGGAGCUAGUCAGAACUAGCUGCCUGACAGAGUCCAUGUCUGCCUUGAGUCCCUGACUCCUUCUCCGGUUGCCAUUUUUCUGCCCUGCGCAGCUUCCCGAUAAUGUCCCUGCUUAUUUUUAACGCACCGGCAGCAUCCCUGUCCAAAUCGACCGGGUAUUUGAGAAGCCGGCACAGAACCUCCAGGUCUGUUUGCCUUCUCAAUGCUUCAAUUAUGCCGUUUAAUGAGGGCCCAGCAGCCAAGCCCAGCCUGACAUUUUAAAAGAUUCCCAGUGCCUUUGUGUUGCAGCAGGCCUCUGGCUUCUUUCUCUCAAUUAUUACCUUAACCAUGCCCCGGAGACCCAAGGAGACCGUUUAUUUUGACUGGUAGAUUGUUAAACUACAGGAGGCAGGCCAGAGCCAGCGCCAGGCUGUGAUUUCCAUUGCUCCACAGGCCAAAGCCUUGGUGCUGAGAAUAGCCAAGGCCACUUCCUGCUGGAGAAGGAAAUGGCAGUUUCCUCAGCUCCCGGAAAUGUGGCUUCCUCUCUGGUGCCUAGCUCAGUGUUCACCCAUCAGACAGUCUCUUCCCACCCCAAACCCCCGGGGACCGGCUCCAGCCUGGAGAAGACAUCCUGUUUCCCUGAGGAAGUGGCCCAGAUUGGGGUGGCCACCAGGGCGUUGGAGUGGGCGUGAGUGGGUAGCAGGGCAGGAAAGAGCUGACAAGGAGCGAUGCUAAUAAUAUUGUGUGUUAAGAAGGAGGCACACCCGUCCCUUUGUCCAGACCCCAGAGACCUCCGCAAACCUGCCAAAACUUCCCACGGCCUUUGAAGGCCAAGUCCUCCCGAUACUGUUUUUGCUUUCUUCAUCUAUCUGUGCUAACUGUGCAUCUUUGUGGAAUAUAGUGUGACUGCGCCUGUUUGGUGCAUGCAUGCCAGGUGUGAUGGAUGAAUCCAGACAAUUACAAUCUCCUCUUUGAAAAGCUACCAUUUUCUUGUGGUUGAAGCUUACAAAACCCUCUCUUCUGUAUUUUUAAAUCGACCAGUAUAAGAUGUUGUAAACUGAGUCACCCUGGUGCGCUGUGAAACACUAGAAUUUAUUCUUUCUAAGUAGACUUCCAGUACCCUGCCAUCUCUUCUUUCAACAAUGUUUCUGACUCUCCUAACAGUCACCCAAUCCAAAAAUGCGAUUCCAGGGCCUGGAAAGUUGGCUCCAUGGUUGGUUCCCAGCACUCACAUGGUGGCUCACAACCUGCUGUAGCUCCAAUACCAGGGGAUCUGAUGCCCUCUUCCUACCUCCAUGGGUGUCAGGCACUCACAUGGUGUACAGACAUAUAUGCAGGCAAAGCACUCAUACGUAUUAAAAUACCAGUUAUUUAGUUAAGAAAAAUCAGUCUGUUUCUUAUGCUCAUUCUAUGGAUUUCGGGAAUUAAGAACAGGCAGAAGGCUGUGCCACAGCCCAGUGGUAGGGCACGGAUCUAGCAUGAACAAGCCCUGGGUUCAAACAGAAGAGAGGAGGGAAAGGAAGAAGGAUGGGAAGAUGGGAGGAUGGGGGGAUAGAAGGAUGGGUUGCUUGACACUGACACUGAUUGUCACAGGACAGAGGCAAGCUCCUCUGGUUCAACUCUAUUCUAUAACAUAUACUCUUUCUUUCUCUCUGCCUCUCUCUCUCUCUCUCUCUCUACAGAGAGAGAGAGAGAGAGAGAGAGAGAGAGAGAGAGAGAGAGAGAGAGAGCAAAAACAAAUCACACUAUACCCCACAAAAAGAUACAAUUAGUGACCUGGUAGGUGGGUUGUUAACCUCUCUGAACCUCAGCUUUUCUGGGAAGAAUGGUGUGGCCGCCCCCUUAAGACCGCUAGGCGAUUCCAUGAGCCAGACCCCUCAGAGCAGACGAGGCACUUGCACAUAGUCCAUGAUUGUUUUCCUCUGCCCUUUCAGAAGGGGCGUGCCUUCCCCUGCUUCUUGAGGAAUAAUAGUCGCCCUUCUCUGAAGCCUUGGCACCGGCCAGCACCCUUGGCCUUGGAAUUUCAGCCUCUGUGGAGAUGGGCCUCAGGAGGGCACUUCUCUGAAUGUUCUCCUUGUGGGAAAUUUGCUUAAAUAAAAGCGCAACCCAGCUGUCGUUUUAUUAUAAUUUUAUAUGAACUACUUG